rnacentral:rRNA from 1 species
AUUCAUGACGAGGCUACCAUGCAGUCGAACGGUAGCAGAAAGAAGCUUGCUUCUUUGCUGACGAGUGGCGGACGGGUGAGUAAUGUCUGGGAAACUGCCCGAUGGAGGGGGAUAACUACUGGAAACGGUAGCUAAUACCGCAUAACGUCUUCGGACCAAAGAGGGGGACCUUCGGGCCUCUUGCCAUCGGAUGUGCCCAGAUGGGAUUAGCUAGUAGGUGGGGUAACGGCUCACCUAGGCGACGAUCCCUAGCUGGUCUGAGAGGAUGACCAGCCACACUGGAACUGAGACACGGUCCAGACUCCUACGGGAGGCAGCAGUGGGGAAUAUUGCACAAUGGGCGCAAGCCUGAUGCAGCCAUGCCGCGUGUAUGAAGAAGGCCUUCGGGUUGUAAAGUACUUUCAGCGGGGAGGAAGGGGAGUGAGGUUAAUAACCUCAUUCAUUGACGUUACCCGCAGAAGAAGCACCGGCUAACUCCGUGCCAGCAGCCGCGGUAAUACGGAGGGUGCAAGCGUUAAUCGGAAUUACUGGGCGUAAAGCGCACGCAGGCGGUCUGUCAAGUCGGAUGUGAAAUCCCCGGGCUCAACCUGGGAACUGCAUUCGAAACUGGCAGGCUUGAGUCUCGUAGAGGGGGGUAGAAUUCCAGGUGUAGCGGUGAAAUGCGUAGAGAUCUGGAGGAAUACCGGUGGCGAAGGCGGCCCCUGGACGAAGACUGACGCUCAGGUGCGAAAGCGUGGGGAGCAAACAGGAUUAGAUACCCUGAUAGUCCACGCCGUAAACGAUGUCUACUUGGAGGCUGUGCCCUUGAGGCGUGGCUUCCGGAGCUAACGCGUUAAGUAGACCGCCUGGGGAGUACGGUCGCAAGGUUAAAACUCAAUGAAAUUGACGGGGGCCGCACAGCGGUGAGCAUGUGAUUAUCGAUGCACGCGAGGACUACCUACUCUGGACAUCCAGAGGAACUUAGCAGAGA